UUUUCAGGGUAUGUUGCAUGACUCUCCAAAGCUGAUGUAAGGAUGAGCAUGAAAGAUGCAGCGAUAAAAUAGAAAACCUAAUGGACUGUUCAUCAUGAUGGAUUUUUAAAAGCUGUUUUGUUUCCUGCUUGUUUCUCUGUCAUUAUUUCAUUUCUGGUCUGUAAAUGGAUGAGACUGAUGAGUUUUUAGUUUCCUAUAUGCUUGCAGCUGAAGAACUCACCAAGCCGUACGCUGAACUUGAAGGUGUUUUGAAGGCAGUGGGCAGCCGUCAGCACCCAAUUUUCAUCAAUUAGGACUCCUCCACAGUGAAAAAUCCCUUUCUCGUUCAAUAGAAGCACCUAAAUGAUUGAAUAUUAAGAAAGCCUGCCUGAAAACAAACUGCUAAGAUUUUACUCACAUAUUCAGUUCACAUUUCUGAGAUUUAGUGUUUCUUUUGAACAAAAUUUUAACCUUAAUGAUUCAUUUCAGUUGGGCAUAUUUUUUUUUUCAAUGGUGAUUAACUUUAGGUGAUGCACUACAUGCCUCCAGUAUCUCUUUAUAACCACAAUAUAUCCUAUUGGUUGUUUUUCCUUAGCUUGUCUACAUUUUUUUCCUAAUAAUUUACUAAACUGUAUCAUAGGUUUAUCUGAUUCAGGUUCAUCAUGCAGCUCUGUCUCUAUUGGCGUCUUCAAGUGCAAGAAAACUUUACUCAGCCAAACGCUUGUACUCUAACUCUGUCCUAGUGAUGGUUAAAUCGUUCUAUAUUUAAAACUUUAGCUUUAGACAUUUAACAAAUGAGAAGGGAGAAGCUCAGUCACAAGAUUCUUUGGAAUCUUGUUGGAAAAGAUAAGGAAACUUUACCAAACCAUAAAAACCUGAGGCAGAGCUGUCAAAUCGUUUAAUUUUCAUAAAGAGUUAAAUAGUUAAAUGUAUUUGUCUGAUAGGUUAGCUACCUGCCAAGGGCUCUCCCCUUUUUUGCCCACUUCCCCUCCGAGCGUCCAUGGCAGCAGACCCUCCACAGGCUCACUGUACUCCGACCUGUGGAUCAGAAUCUGACCACAAGAUGAAGUACCUGCAGGAUUAAACGUUUUAACAGAUAUUUAGGUUGGUUACUUCCAGCGGUGUCAAGUAAGGAAGUACAAAUACUCUGUACUCUACUUAAGUACACUUUUUAGGUAUCUAUACUUUACUCCAUUACUUAUUUUUCUUCCUACUUCUGACUUCUACUCAUUACAUUUUCAUUUAAGUAUCUGUACUUUCUAUUCCUUACAUUUUUAAAACAAACGCUACUCGUUACUAUUUGGUUUAAUGUUUAUAAAUAUUUAUUUCACCUCUUUCUGUUGGGAUCCUGAGGCUUGCCCACCAGAGGGCGCCGAGGAGCCUCUUCUGUUAUAUGUUUUCUGUUAGGGACUGGGGUUACUGUUGGGAUCUGGAGAUCUACCAUCUGUCUCCAGCAGAGAGCGCUGUGGGUCUCCUGGGCUGGAGCCUCUAGCACACCUGAAGCUCAUCAACCCAUCAGGAGACCUUUCUACAUAAGCAGUAGUCAGACCUUCCUUCGACGGUCUGACUGCAGUGUUGACCAAGUUUGGUUAGCAAACCUGAGCUUCUGUUAAUUUUAGAGAAUCUUAGUUGGCUCUAGAGAGAAACUAGAUUCUAACCUGCCUCUGUCUUCUUUGCUCACAGAAAACCCGACUGAAGUCUGAAGCUCUGGAUGAGCUUUGCCUGGAAGCCUGCCUGCGUGCCCAAGGGAGCCAAACCUGAAGAUAUCAGUCUGGAUUCCUCCAACAGCUCUGAAGGAAGAGCUAGGAAACCAAGUCAAGGUCAGAAACUCGCAAGUCAGAAGCUAGACGCUGCUGCUGCUGAGCUCCCUGCUGAAUUUACAGUCUCUGGACCCAACCGGUCCCCCCCCCCCCCCACUCAAAGGAUCUGUCAGAACCUCUUCAAGAUAUCAGUGAUGGUCAGAAACUCACAAGUCUGAAGCUAGACUCUGCUGCUGCUGAGCUCCCUGCUGAAUCUACAGUCUCUGGACCCAACCGGUUCCCCACCUCUCAAAGGACCUGUCAAAACCUCUUCAAGCAGGAAGACUUCCUGUGUUACUGGAUAAGCCUGGACCUUCUACCCCUGGGAGGAUUUACUGAGUCUCACUGAGCAAGGGGAAAACCUCCACAUGAUCCUUUCAAUUCCACUCCUGGAAAACCAAGUGCAGUCCGCUCCUUUACUCCUCUGGGUCCAACGUAUGUCUGCCUGUCCGCUCUCCAACGAGUUCCCUCUUCUCUGGAUUAAACCCCCACAAACUGGAUCCAAGGAUAAACCAAGAGCCCCCCAAAGAGUUUCCAGUUCCGGUUCACCAGUCCGCUGAGUUCCAGCAUUGUUUCCCCACAGAGUUCAAUCUCCAUCAGUGUUUGCUAACCUACAAUAAACCUGUAAAACUUUUACCUUUGGUCUCUGAAUUCUGAAUGCAGGGCUCUUUAACAUUUUCCAGGCCAAGGACCCCUAUACUGAUGCCGAGAUGGAGAGGAGACUCCCUAAUAAUAUAUUGUAUUAAACUGCAUUAUAUCAAACUGGUCCCAUAGUCACUCUAUUACAUAUGGAGUCAUGUAACGAAAGUAAUUUCUCCCUGGGAUUAUUAUUAUUAAAUUCCUGGUACCUCAACCAGGAAU